CAGCAGCUGCUGCAGAGUAUGUGUGCUGAGUAUUCAUCCCUUUUUCCGCUCCAAGCACCGGUCGGGGGCCUUUUCGGUUCAGUCCGUCUGCGCCACGGCAUGGCUAAGACUGUCGUUUCAUACUAUACAUGCCCGUUUUCGUGCUUCCAGAAUCGUACACCGCAAGACGUGAGACGACAUGAGUUACACGCCCUCUAUUUAGGCCCGCUAUAGCUGAUUCACCUGAAAUCGACUUUUU
rnacentral:lncRNA from 1 species